AAGGAUAGAGUGCGAGGGCGAGCUGAGAAAGCGAAAGCGAAAGCGAAAGAGAACGCUGCAUAAAGGCCUCUUGUGUCCUUGUCUAAUAACGCAUGCUCGUUCGUAUAGCAAACAUAUAAGUGUAUAGCCAACACAAACAUUGUCAGUGUCAUGCCUGAUUAGACAAGGACAGAAGACACUUUUAUGCAGCGUUCUUUCUACUCCUAUAUCGCAUCCACUUACACGAUAAUUUAAGACUAUAUGACUCGCGUACUCUAACUCUUUGUAUAUCUAUGGUUAUAAUAGACAUUUAUUGCAGUCUCACAGUUGUUAGAAAUUUUGAGUUUUAGGACAUGUCUAAGAAUCAUCGAAAUGGAAAGGUUUCCUCGGUGCGUCAAUAUCUUCAAGAAUUCGUGGACAUGGCUGCAAGCGUUAGUGGAGAGGACAGAGUCGUUCUAUCAGGCGUAACGAUCAGUGGACAGUCCUGUGCGAAAUCUUCAGUUGCGAACAGUAUCUCCAAGCAUCGAUGAAGUUUUUACCGGUUGCAGUUUACCAGUUUGAAUCGGCGUCCUUGAUCGAUAGUUAUUUUCGAAGGUACGCCGAAACGAGCUAUUCGUGUAGAGAGGAGAACCGAGGCAACGGUUGUCGCUUCCAUAUCAACGAUGGGAAUGGCUUCGGACCAACGCGAAAAACGGUCGAUACACGUUAGACAAUGUGAGAAUACGUGCCUGGUGACAUUGCAUCGUUGACACGGGAUACAUUGUCGUGCCCAAGUCCGGCAAUCUUUAUUUACGGACGGUCAAAUGAAACGCGACGUCACCAAUUUUUGCGUGGCACGUAUCUCUGGAUGGGAAAGUCCGUGGAGCGAAUUAAACACGUCGCGCCGCAAGGAUUUCGGUACGUACCAUCGUACAAUGUCGCCUGAUAUGUCGCAAUAAAUUUCUACCUAUAA